UAUCUCUCUUGGUCAUAAUGAGAACUAAAGAUGUAAUCUCAAGUUCAGGCAAAUGGCAUAUCAGAGACGAUGAUCUGGAAGGAAGGUGUAGAUGGAAAAUAUGCCAGAAACAAUCAAGGCAUGGGAUAGGAUUAAAGAGCAAGUGAAGAAAUAUAUAAGCCUACCCAUUCUGAACUGAACUUGGCACAUGACAAUUUUUUUUAUCAGAGAAAAGAUUCUCCUUUAUCAAAGGUCUGUGGUAGUAUUUUGAAUGUAACUGACUUACUGCGGAGUUCAUAAUAUUUGGAUAACUUCUGAAUGCUUAUUUUAUCAACUAAAUAGGAGGUUGC